ensembl:lncRNA
GGCACCCCCAGUUCCACCAGCAGACUGGCAGGGAAGUAGGUGGAUUCGUGCCUGCAACUUCAGCCCUCGGGCUACCCCUCGCUUCCCUCUGCCCCAACCUGGCAGCCACCCAGGCCAGUGCACGUCCAGUCUAGACUGGAAAAUGGGUGCUUGGCAUCUCAGGGCCUGUGGUACAGAACUGGGGAAGGAGGCCUGCUGUUCUUCGCCGCCAAACACAUCGUCACCUCCAGUAAAGAUCUGAACGGAUGUCCUUACCUUCCGCUUUCAGCUGCUUUCAGCUGCUGUGAAGCCCAGGCCGAGGUAGCAGAAGAGGAUCCCGCAGGCCACUGCCUGUCCUCCGGCGGCAGCUUAUAGCAGCGUUUAGUUCGCAGCUGCCCACGCCCCCGCGCCCCUAUAUCCCGCGCUGCCCGAGGCAACCAGUUUGCUUCCUGCACUCCUGGACGCCCCUCUCCUUCAGGCCCCCACGGCCCCACCAGCCGGGCCCUACCCAAGACCUCCGGGCGCCGCGCCGGGGGCUCCCCCAAGACCACUGCCUCGCGCCCCAGGUGUGCGCAGCUGCCCCACGUCCCCUCCCCAGGCUCCCCGGGACUCUCGGGCCCCUCCCCGCGCUCGGGCGGCCGCAGCAGCCGGCGCGGGCUCCCCUCCCCCCGCUCCUGCACCCCGGCGCGCUCCUCACCCCGCUCCUGCACGGCGGGGCCCCCACCCCCCUUUUCCUGGUACGGCCGCCGAGGCCCCAGGCCCUCCUCCUGCGCCACCGGCCGGCCGGCCACGCCCGUCCACCGCGCCGUGCGCCCCUCGCCCCCGCCGGCCGGUGGCCCCCACACCACCCCUGGACUGGGCUCGCGGCCGCGGCCGCCGCGCUCCUGCACGCCUGCGCCCACGCCGCCCUGCUCCUGCACCGCCGGCCCCACGCCGCCCUGCUCCUCCACGCCGAGCCUCAGCCCGCGAAGCUGCUGCGGGCCCCAGCUGAGCGCCCCGACGCGCGCCGGAUGCUGCUCGGGCAGUGCGGGGCUCAGCCCGCCGCGCUCCUCCUGCGCCCCGCGCCGCCGGCCCGCGGCCCCCACGGCCCCGCGCACGCGCCCGCCCCCCACAGGCCGCGCGCUCCCGCCUCUCCAGAUGGUGCUGCCCCCCCGCGCCCGCUCUCGCCCCCCCGACGGGGAGGGGGCUGCUGGGGUCCCGGCCCCGGCUCCGCCUCCGCCUCCUCACCCGCACCCGCCCUCGCCCUCGCCCUCGCCCUCGCCCUCCCCUCCCGGCGUCCACCUAGGCCGCCGGGCGCCGCCGGCCCCCGCAGGUGCUGCGGCCCCGCGCGCCGGCCACCAGCCCAGAGCGCCCGCCUCUCUCGCGGCCGCGCCUGCGCCGCCCCGGUGGCCGGACCUGGCGUGUUGGGACACGCCCUCUUAAAGAGCCAGGCCCACUCCUGCACCCCAUUCCUGGCCCUUUGUGGUACCAAAGGAAGAAGUACAGCAGCAAGUUUGGAUGUCCCAUGGGGAAGCACUGGAAUGAGAGGCUGCAGUUCUAAGUGCCUAGCAAUUUGGCUGUUGCUGAUUUACCCUGUGAAUAUGAAAUGUCACUUUGCCUUGGCCUCAAUUGCUUCGGCUCUAAAAUGAAGAAGAUGGAGCUGGGCAGGAAUAGUGGUGCACACCCAUAAUCUCAGCACUCAGGAGGUUGAGGGAGGCGGGCUGCCCCCAGUUCUAGGCCAGCCUAAACUACAGAGCAAGACCCUGCUCGAAAAGCCAAACAAGACUUGGGAUUUAGCUCAGUGGUUUCACCGCCUGCUGCGCAAGAGCAAGGACCCGAGUUCGAUCCCCGGUACCAAAAAAAAGCCAAACAAAUAAAAAGAAUAAAAAGAAUGAGAAGGA